rnacentral:misc_RNA from 1 species
UCCGGUUUUGGCCGGCAGUCUCGCCAGAGUUCCCGUCUAUUCCGAAGAAUACCGUGGCAACUGGCGAUAGGGGUUGCGCUCGUUGCGCCACUUAAGGCAACACCUCACGACACGAGCUGACGACAACCAUGCACCACCUGUGAACCGGCCCCAAAGGGGAAACCACAUUUCUGCGGCGGUCCGGUCCAUGUCAAGCCUUGGUAAGGUUCUUCGCGUUGCAUCGAAUUAAACAACAUGCUCCGCUGCUUGUGCGGGCCCCCGUCAAUUCCUUUGAGUUUUAGCCUUGCGGCCGUACUCCCCAGGCGGGGUGCUUAAUGCGUUAGCUUCGGCACGGAGGGAGUUGACACCCCCCACACCUAGCACCCAUCGUUUACGGCGUGGACUAC